GACGAACGCUGGCGGCGCGCCUAACACAUGCAAGUCGAACGAGAGAUGAAGAGCUUGCUCUUCAAAUCGAGUGGCGAACGGGUGAGUAACGCGUGAGGAACCUGCCUCAAAGAGGGGGACAACAGUUGGAAACGGCUGCUAAUACCGCAUAAGCCCACGGCUCGGCAUCGAGCAGAGGGAAAAGGAGCAAUCCGCUUUGAGAUGGCCUCGCGUCCGAUUAGCUAGUUGGUGAGGUAACGGCCCACCAAGGCGACGAUCGGUAGCCGGACUGAGAGGUUGAACGGCCACAUUGGGACUGAGACACGGCCCAAACUCCUACGGGAGGCAGCAGUGGGGAAUAUUGCACAAUGGGGGAAACCCUGAUGCAGCGACGCCGCGUGAGUGAUGAAGUAUUUCGGAUGUAAAGCUCUAUCAGCAGGGAAGAUAAUGACGGUACCUGACUAAGAAGCACCGGCUAAAUACGUG
rnacentral:rRNA from 1 species